rnacentral:rRNA from 1 species
CCAAUAGCGUAUAUUAAAGUUGUUGCAGUUAAAAAGCUCGUAGUUGAACUUCGGGGUUUACUCAUUGGUCAGGCUUAAUUGUCUGUACUGGUGAGAUGAAUCUCUACCUUCUGAGGAACUUUCAUGUCAUUUAUUUGGUGUGAUUGGAAAUCAGGACUGUUACUUUGAAAAAAUUAGAGUGUUUAAAGCAGGCUAACGUCUGAAUACAUUAGCAUGGAAUAAUGAAAUAGGACGGACUGAUUCUAUUUCGUUGGUUUCUAGGAUCACCGUAAUGAUUAAUAGGGAUAGUUGGGGGCAUUAGUAUUCAAUUGUCAGAGGUGAAAUUCUUGGAUUUAUUGAAGACUAACUACUGCGAAAGCAUUUGCCCAGGAUGUUUUCAUUAAUCAAGAACGAAAGUUAGGGGAUCGAAGACGAUCAGAUACCGUCGUAGUCUUAACCAUAAACUAUGCCGACUAGGGAUCGCACGAAGUUAAUUUUAUAAUGACGCGUUCGGCACCUUACG